UAUUUAAAAAGUUUAACUUUCCCUAAUAUCUUCAAUAUUAUGCUCUUAAUAUAAGCUAUUUAAAU
rnacentral:tRNA from 1 species